CCUCCUUCACUCACAAAAUAAAAUUUCUUUUCUUUCCUUUCUCUGCGCGACCACGACAGCUUCGCCGUAGAUCUCCCUCCACGACACAUCGAGCCACCACGACAUAGCAAGCCACCUGCCCCCGGCGAAACCACGGCAAUGCCACCCACCUGCCCGUGGCGAAACCCUGCCCGACGGUGCGCGCGACCCACCUUUCGGCGGCAAAACCCAGUUCGACGGUGACCCACCUCCGGUUCAGCCUGCCUGUGCGACUGCAUAGCCUCCUUUCCAACCCAAAAGUUAUUUUGUUUUUCUUCUUUCUUUUGCCGAAACCUCUUCUUUCUAUUUAAUAGCAAAUGAAACUGAAACCCUAAUUGGCAUUGUGUUCGUUCUUCACUCUCUCAGCCGCGAAAACAUUUGCGAUUAUGAUAAUUAGCAUUAGCCAUGGCUUCUUCGAUAACUGUGAAGGAAUUUCUCCUCACGAAUUCGUCAAGGCUUACUCCGCUCAUCUCAAACGGCAAGAUGGAGCUGCCUGAAUAGACUGAUAUUGUGAAAAUUGCAAAGUUCAAAGAAUUGGCUCCCUAUGAUCCCGAUUGGUAUUACAUUAGGGCUGGUGAGAUAUAUUCUCUCACAACUUUACUUCAUGAAUGUGAUUAAACACUAUACUUGGAUUUGAUUCCCAUUUUUAGGCGCUUGUGACAACUUUUGAUUUCAAACUCAGUUUUGAUUUUUUGACCACAUGCAUUUUUGGUCCUUUGCUGAGCUUAGAAUUAUUAUUAGAAAACUUUAGCAUUUCAUUUUUACAUAGCAUUUUGUAUUAUGAAUUGGUGGUUUGGUUUCCUCUUUGAUAUUGUUUUUGACUCAUGAGUUGUAUCUACUGAUAGUCUUGGAUCAAGUUUUUAAACGUUUAAUGAUGUUGUUUAUGUUAUUUAGGUGAAAACUGUUGUCCAUGAUUGCAUUUGUGGUUGGUUUGAUCCACUUUUUGUGAUAAAUAUUAGACAAAUUAAUUAUUUAUAAAUUUCUUAAUUUAAAAAAAUAAUUUUGGUUUCUUUACAAUAUUAUUUUCCUACACUGUGCCUGAUAUGAAGUGAGUGUAAAUAAUAAUGGUUAUAAUGAUUAUGAUGGUAAGAUUUAAGAAGUCAUGCUAAACUUUAUUUAUUUUUGAAUUGAAGGUUCCAAAGGGUUGUGUUGUGUUACUGUAUAGGAAGGCUGGGUCAAUAUCUUUGAAUUAGAAAGAUUGAUUUUAACUACAUAUAAGUUGAUAAGUUGAAGUGGAUGAUAAAUGGUAUCUAAAGUUAUUCUAAAGUUUUAGCUGUAGGAAAUAUUCUAAAGGUGUGGCAGAGACUUUGAUUCUUUGAUAAAUCUAUGUAAUAUAGCUGUAGGAAAUAUUUAAGGCUAGUUUUAGAAAUCAAUUGUACGUAUCCAACUUUAGUUGGUCUAACUAUUUGUUAGCAAUCCAUGGUUUUGGUACUGGAGCAUAUAUAGUAGCCAAUUUUUUAUGGUUGUUGAAGUGAUAUUAACCUUAUUUUAAUUGGUGAUUAUUUCAUCUUAAGAAUUUCAUGUGCUUGGGUAGUGUUUUUUUAUUCUUAUUAUUUGGAAUGUUUUUAUUCAAUGCAACAAUGGAUGAUUUGAAUUUUGUGACAGAUCUUGUUGUUGAUAUCACUUUAGGAUGGAUGUUUUUUGUAAACCAUAAUCCACACAUUUGUCGUCCAAUUAUGAUUUGUGCUUUGCCAUGGCAAGGACUGGGUAUUGCUCUUAGCUUCUCAUAGAUGAUGACUUAGAAUAUACAAACUUCAAAAACAGCCAGGACAUGAAGUUAGAUUACUUGGGAAAUAGAAAUUUUUUGUAGUGGAUCUUUUUACUAGAACUUCUUUGAUUUUGAUCUCAAUCAAUUUGUUACUUUUGGUUGAUUAUGUAAUAGAAUGAAUGUUCUCUUUGCAAUCUAUCCCCGAUGUGCCAUUAUAUGGAAGAAUUGUUACGCUUGAACUUUUUCGCCCUCAUGGUGAAGCACAGGAUUUUUUGUUUAUUGCUACUGAAAGAUACAAAUUCUGUGUUCUUCAAUGGGAUACGGAGACUUCUGAACUUGUUAUACGCAAAUGUGUGAUUUUGGUGUUGUCUACCGAAGCUACAAAUGCUCUUAUUGUGGAUUGCAUGUUGGUAUUUCAAGGACGGGAAAAGACUUAUAAAUGGUUGGAUUUUGUAUGGUUUCACUUGUUUUGUUAUUGUAGUAAUCCACCAUAACUUUCUUAUAAUUUUGUACAAUUGUGUGUAACCUAGAUUGAUACUUGUAAAUCAUUUACUUGUAAAUCAUUUGUUCAUUUUGGAAGAAUAUAUAUAUAUAUAUAUAUAUAUAUAUAUAUAAUCUCCUAACAAUUUCGUGCAAUGAAAUUAUGCUUCAGCUUCAGUAGUUGUUAGAAAAAUAUGAAAUAGUGAUCAAAGUGUGGGUUGUGUGAUAUUGGCAAAAUAUGAAAAAUUAGGUAAAAAACUUACAGGAGAUGAAACCGGCCUUUUCAUGAAAAAAUUACAUCAGGCCAACUACAAAGCCGAUGUAAAAACAUACUUUUUACAUCGGUCUAUACGGGAAACCGAUGUAAAAUAUUGCACAUA